UGGGGAAUUUUGGACAAUGGGGGCAACCCUGAUCCAGCCAUCCCGCGUGUGCGAUGAAGGCCUUCGGGUUGUAAAGCACUUUUGGCAGGGAAGAAAAGGCGCCGGAUAAUACCUGGCGCCGCUGACGGUACCUGCAGAAUAAGCACCGGCUAACUACGUGCCAGCAGCCGCGGUAAUACGUAGGGUGCAAGCGUUAAUCGGAAUUACUGGGCGUAAAGCGUGCGCAGGCGGUUCGGAAAGAAAGGUGUGAAAUCCCAGGGCUUAACCUUGGAACUGCACUUUUAACUACCGGGCUAGAGUAUGUCAGAGGGGGGUAGAAUUCCACGUGUAGCAGUGAAAUGCGUAGAGAUGUGGAGGAAUACCGAUGGCGAAGGCAGCCCCCUGGGAUAAUACUGACGCUCAUGCACGAAAGCGUGGGGAGCAAACAGG
rnacentral:rRNA from 1 species